rnacentral:rRNA from 1 species
GACGAACCGAGCGAACGUUGUUCGGAAUCACUGGGCUUAAAGGGCGCGUAGGCGGGCCGCCAAGUCCGUGGUGAAAUCCCCCGGCUCAACCGGGGAAGUGCCUCGGAUACUGGCGGCCUCGAGGGGGGUAGGGGCGUGCGGAACUUCCGGUGGAGCGGUGAAAUGCGUAGAUAUCGGAAGGAACACCGGUGGCGAAAGCGGCGCGCUGGACCCCAUCUGACGCUGAGGCGCGAAAGCCAGGGGAGCAAACGGG